UGACCCACCAAACCCGUCUUCCCUGGAUAUUAAUGAACUUGCUCCUGAAGACCUAAAGGAGUGGCCUGACCCUGAAGAGCAUCCCCCAGAAACACGCUCAGAUGACUUUCAUGUGCUCCAGCCACAGUAUCCAUAUUGGAAGAAACCCGCCACCCCAGAGCAAGUGAAAUCCUGGUCUCUGAGUAGAAGAAAGAGGAUAGUUGACUGGCAAGGUGGUGACUGUCAGUGCACCUGUGGCACCAGUUAUUAUCUUGGGUACAUUCCCUACCUGAAGGCUGAAAUGGCUGACUGUGGGAGGGGAGGUGAUUGUUGUAGCUCUGCUUGUUUAGGAGUUUGUUGUUGCAUACUUCCUGAGGGAAGCCCCAUUGAGCUCAACGCCCCCAAGUCUGUUCCCUCAAUUGUGCAUUCUGUAUCUGUUCAGCCUCUCCAGCCACUGCGUUUAUGGGAGAAUCUGCCCCCUCCCACUCCUAUGGCUGACAACACUCUCCAGCGAUGGUGUGAAGCCCACCAGGUGGGAGGGCGUGCAGCAGAUUGGAACAAAGUUAUUACAUGGUUUGUGAAUCAUACCUAUAC